GAACCAGGAGGGGGCGACCAGGGGUUUCUCCACAAACCCUAAUUCUCACAAAAUCCUUCAAAUUGAAGCUCAAAUCAAGCCCGAAUCGUCUGCAUGAUUACAAAUUCGUGAUCUCCAUUGAAAGGGGAGUCAUAAGUUUGACUCUUGACGAGCUAGGUGAAGCUUGGAGGAGAAGAUCAAACGGGAUAAAGGCACGAAUAAGACUUGCUUGGAUGAAAGGGGCGAAUAGUAAUUUGGGUAAUUGCGUCGCCAUAAGAAUAUCGAUAAUGAAAGCAAGGAGUCGAAACGGGUCAUUAGGUUGACUCGAGCCAGGUGAAUGUCGAGAGUCCCGGAUGAAGAUCAAGCAUCGAACAAGAACCGAACACACGUUAAACAAAGCUUCCGCAACGUUAUUUUGUCGUUAUUCUAAACGGCGAAUUAAAUCACAUUAUGUAUAUCACUUAAAUUGUAAAAGUUUUUAACAACCCGUAUUUCUAAUGUAUAUGUAAUUAUUAAUUACAUGAUUAUUUCGCUAAAUAUACGUUAAACCUUGAUUUAUAAGAACGGGUGUUACAUUC
rnacentral:lncRNA from 1 species